rnacentral:rRNA from 1 species
GAUGAACGCUAGCGGCAGGCUUAAUACAUGCAAGUCGAACGGUAACAGGUCUUCGGAUGCUGACGAGUGGCGCACGGGUGAGUAACGCGUACAAACCUACCUUUUACUGGGGAAAGUCGCUGGAAACGGCGAAUAAUCCCGCAUAAGACCACAAUGUCGCAUGGCAAAGAGGUUAAAGGCUUCGGUCGGUAAAAGAUGGUUGUGCGUUCCAUUAGCUAGAUGGUGAGGUAACGGCUCACCAUGGCGACGAUGGGUAGGGGGCGUGAGAGCGUGAUCCCCCACACGGGUACUGAGACACGGACCCG